rnacentral:rRNA from 1 species
UGCCAGCCCAUCCCUUAAUGGGUCUCCUGGGUUGAGGUGUCUGGGGAAGGGCCUAAUAUUAAACCUUUGAACCAACCUAUUGUCUGAGAAGGCCAUGUGCCGUAAUAUAUAAACUUGUUAAAACUUUCAACAACGGAUCUCUUGGCUCUCGCAUCGAUGAAGAACGCAGCGAAAUGCGAUAAGUAAUGUGAAUUGCAGAAUUCAGUGAAUCAUCGAAUCUUUGAACGCACAUUGCGCCCUUUGGCAUUCCUUAGGGCAUGCCUGUUCGAGCGUCACUAAAAACCCCCUCACACAUAAUGUGGUAUUGGUAGAAGUGGAUAGUACUAACACUACUUUCUCUCACUCUACUGAAAUGAAUAGGCCAGANAAGUAGACCAUGGUAAUAGACUCCANGAGUGUUUUAAAAUGCUAAACUAGUCUUAUCCAAGUCAUGUUCUGAGCUACUGGACCCCCCCAUUUAGUCCA